rnacentral:lncRNA from 1 species
AAUUUUAAACUAGAUAUGAUGAAAGUCAAACUUUUCAAUGAUCAAACAUUUAUGAUUAACUGAAAGUGCAACAAAUUUAAACUAUCAUUGGAUGUAAAUUAGAUCCUUAAUUAUGAACAACUGACCCAGAGGAAAACCUAUCUCCAGAAGCUACAACAUGGAGCUUCACCCUAAAAAGCACGACAAAUUCAACCACCAUAGCGGAUCACUAUUGCAUCAAAUACAAAGAAGACAAAAUAUAACUACAACAAAGAAGAAAAGUAACUAAAUCGAACUAAUACAACAUUGAAAUUUAGCGAGACAGACAAUGAUCAGGCAAAAAAAGAUGUCUUCUGAUAUAACAGAAAUUAUCGGGGACACAUCUAAAACCACUAUGCUAGAGGUUUUACAUGAGCAAAGGACAUCUAUAAAAACAUUUUGCCUCCAUCGGAAAUUUUCCUUAGGUUGUGUAUAUUCCUAAUGAACAACUAACCCAGAGGAAACAGACUAAUAACAUGUUUGUUUGGUUUCGCAGUGGGUGACUUAUGAAUGCAGAAGCUACAAUAUGGAGUUUUGUCCUAGAAGCAAGAAAAAUUCAGCCACCACAUCAGAUCGGUAGUGGAUAAACUACAAAGAAGAAAAGUAAUUACAAAGAAAAAGACAAUAACUGUAUCAAGCUAAUACAACAUUGAUAAUUUGGCUAUGGUUGGGCAAAAUUGAAAAAAAAAUGCCCUUCUCCAUGAUAACAGAAAUUCGAAGGGGAGGUCUCCCCUCAGCAUAUCCAAAACCGCUAUGCUAGAGGUUUUACAUGAGCAAAGGGCAUAGAUAGAAACAUUUCGCCUCCAAACUGCCGUCUCAUGAAUCAUACAUUCUUCAGUUGCUGCAGUGAUGGGUUAUUCUUGUUCAUUUAGCAACAGAUUCAUUCCUUCAAUCGUUUGCUGGAAACAGAAUGAUGCGUUCUGAAAUUAAAACUAAGAAAACUAAGCACAUACACCCCAACAACUAAAGUUAUACCUGUUGUAAGGAAUACUCACACUCACCCCAACAACUAAAGUUAGUGGUUUCAAAAAUCUUUAGAUUUAACAAAAGGGGAAAACUGAAGAACAAUUUU